rnacentral:lncRNA from 1 species
UUUCAUGCAGUGGCAUGCUUGGAUGCAGUAGAAGUAGUUACUUGCGGUGUGGCAGCAGCGGAAGAAUGAGUUUCAGUGGUGUAGGUAGUGGUUUGAAGAGCUGUUUGAUGAGGUGAACACUAACUCAGGUGGCCUUCAAUAGAAGGAAGGUAGGUGGGGAGGGAAAGCUCAAUUUGGAGGUGACUUUUGGCAGAGUUUUGGAUGCUGGAAUUUGCUUCAGCAAAGAUAAAACUCAUUUAAUCAUCAAAAGUGAAAUACAAGUGUUGCCAUGGUGGGUUUUAUAGAUGAACCGACUUGGCCGUGUGAAGAACUCAUGAUCCGUGAAAAGUGGAUCAGCUGCCACGUAUCAGACCAUGUGCAGCAUGUGCUUUGCCUUCUAGAAGGCUUAUUUACAAUGUGAGAAAAUGCAAUUUAAACAUGUGGCCACGUGAUGGAUUGGAAGACUUCAUGUGCUUCCAAGUUGCAGCCCUUUCCUUGCCAAGCUCACCCCCCU